rnacentral:rRNA from 1 species
UGGGGAAUAUUGCACAAUGGGCGCAAGCCUGAUGCAGCGACGCCGCGUGCGGGAUGACGGCCUUCGGGUUGUAAACCGCUUUUGAUCGGGAGCAAGCCUUCGGGUGAGUGUACCUUUCGAAUAAGCACCGGCUAACUACGUGCCAGCAGCCGCGGUAAUACGUAGGGUGCAAGCGUUAUCCGGAAUUAUUGGGCGUAAAGGGCUCGUAGGCGGUUCGUCGCGUCCGGUGUGAAAGUCCAUCGCUUAACGGUGGAUCUGCGCCGGGUACGGGCGGGCUGGAGUGCGGUAGGGGAGACGGGAAUUCCCGGUGUAACGGUGGAAUGUGUAGAUAUCGGGAAGAACACCAAUGGCGAAGGCAGGUCUCUGGGCCGUUACUGACGCUGAGGAGCGAAAGCGUGGGGAGCGAACAGG